UACGAAGGGGGGCUAGCGUUGCUCGGAAUCACUGGGCGUAAAGGGUGCGUAGGCGGGUUUUUAAGUCAGAGGUGAAAUCCUGGAGCUCAACUCCAGAACUGCCUUUGAUACUGAAAGUCUUGAGUAUGGGAGAGGUGAGUGGAACUGCGAGUGUAGAGGUGAAAUUCGUAGAUAUUCGCAAGAACACCAGUGGCGAAGGCGGCUCACUGGCCCAUAACUGACGCUGAGGCACGAGAGCGUGGGGGAGCAAACAGG
rnacentral:rRNA from 1 species